rnacentral:misc_RNA from 1 species
UGAAUUGCGAUAACUAAUGUGAAUUGCAUCACCUGUGAAUCAUCAAGUCUUUGAACGCAUCUUGCGCUUUUCGAGUCCAUCGAGAAGCAUACCUGUUUGAGUAUCAGAAAGUACUCUAACAACUGUGGUUGUUGGGAAUUGGGGGUUAUCUGAGGAUAUUCUCUGAAAGACAGGAAGCGAUGCUGGGUAUAUGCUCAAGCUCAAGUGCGGUAGGAAACUUGUUUUCUCCCACUGCCGUUGGGUGUAUCUUGGCGCUCGUCGCUUAAUGAACUUUUGAACUCUUGAUCUCAAAUCAGGUAGGAUCACCCGCUGAACUUAA